rnacentral:rRNA from 1 species
UGGGGAAUCUUGCGCAAUGGGCGAAAGCCUGACGCAGCCAUGCCGCGUGAAUGAUGAAGGUCUUAGGAUUGUAAAAUUCUUUCAGCAGGGACGAUAAUGACGGUACCUGCAGAAGAAGCCCCGGCUAACUUCGUGCCAGCAGCCGCGGUAAUACGAAGGGGGCUAGCGUUGCUCGGAAUUACUGGGCGUAAAGGGCGCGUAGGCGGGUCGUUUAGUUAGAGGUGAAAGCCCAGGGCUCAACCCUGGAAUUGCCUUUAAUACUGGCGGCCUUGAGUAUGGCAGAGGUGUGUGGAACUCCGAGUGUAGAGGUGAAAUUCGUAGAUAUUCGGAAGAACACCAGUGGCGAAGGCGACACACUGGGCCAUUACUGACGCUGAGGCGCGAAAGCGUGGGGAGCAAACAGGAUUAGAUACCCCCGUAGUCC